GCUCCCAGAUGGUUGCAGUGCUUUCAGGCAGUGUAUUGUCCAGUACAAAUACAGGGAAAGCCUCUGAAUCUGCCAGAUUUUGCUUGCAAUCAAGGAAGGAGCAACACAUCUCUUUUCUCUUUAGGAGAUACAUAUACCUAUAGAUUUAAUUUGAUGGGGAGAGAGCUGAGGGCAACACCAGGAUGCCUUGUGAGAACUCUUAGACAUUAAUUAGCCCUGUCUAAAUAGAGCUAGAUAUCCAGGUUCCAUCUUCAUCCAACUUAAAGCAAGUCUUCAGUUCUUAUACAGUUUUAUACCUGAACAUGUCCCACUUGCAGAUGGCCCUGCAGAGGGAUUUUCCCUUUGCCUUCUUCCCUUGAAUAUGACAAGAAAGAAAUAGUAUUUUUGACUUUAAAAUGUUGCAACACUGGUUUCAGCUUUGACUCUCUGAGCUGCUGCUCCAGGAUAGUCAGUAGCCUACCUCCAACUGCAGGGUGAAUCUGUGAAGCUUUGGAGCAGUGCCAAAGAAGCCCAGGGAUGUUUUUCAGGGAACAGUGAAAUCGUCCUGCAUGUGAGUGGUGAGCUAAGGGAAGAGCAUGGGCUUUGAUAGAGGGAACUCUGUAGAUCUCCCCCUUCAUAAAAGAUGCUAGCAUCAUCUUUUAUUCAUCAGAACUGUGCAAGUGAAACAGAAAGAAAAACAUCAUAAUCUGGCCUUCAGACCAAGAAUCUUGAACAAAUUCACCUUGCUGAAAUGCCCCAUCCAAGCUGUGGCACAGCACAUCAGCAGUGCUGGCCAUUGUGACCAAAUAGGCAGUCUGACACCCAAAACAACAGAUCCGCUCUGUUUUGCUGCUGUUAAGCCUCAGUCUUGUUCUCCUCACUGAGCAACAGUAGUGCAGCACAGGUUACCAGCUGUGAGGUCACAGACUGAGCCCAUCAAUGCAAAAACAGAAAGAUUAAUUUUACUGCAUAAGAAACUCAAGGGCCAGUAUGAUUUGUCAUCAAUCACUACUGAUUUGAACAGUGAAAUAAAAGAUUUGGGGAAAGUUAAAUAAAAGACUUCAAUGGAAAAGGCAAACAUCGUGUGCCAAUGAACUCCUGAAUUUCUUGGAACAAGAUCAAGAACAAGCUGAAGAAAUUGCAAGAGUGCAACUAGUGAUGCUAGAAGUAGUAGUGAGUAAGUGGCGGUCAACAUCUUCUUGCCAAAGCAGGGGCUUACACAUGAAAGGAGAAACCUUGCUUCAACAAACAAACAAAUAAAUAAAUAAAAAUCAAAUCCCUGCAGUUAAUGACA